AUCAUGGUUUGGCGAGAUUUGGCUCAGUUGAAAAAAGGUUGCCCACACUGAGCAUGGCCCCUGUGCAAGGAUGACACGCAAAUUCGUGAAGAGUUCCAUAUUUAA